GAUGAACGCUGGCGGCGUGCCUAAUACAUGCAAGUCGAGCGAACGGACGAGAAGCUUGCUUCUCUGAUGUUAGCGGCGGACGGGUGAGUAACACGUGGAUAACCUACCUAUAAGACUGGGAUAACUUCGGGAAGCCGGUGCUAAUAACGGAUAAUAUUUUGAACCGCAUGGUUCAAAAGUGAAAGACGGUCUUGCUGUCACUUAUAGAUGGAUCCGCGCUGCAUUAGCUAGUUGGUAAGGUAACGGCUUACCAAGGCAACGAUGCAUAGCCGACCUGAGAGGGUGAUCGGCCACACUGGAACUGAGACACGGUCCAGACUCCUACGGGAGGCAGCAGUAGGGAAUCUUCCGCAAUGGGCGAAAGCCUGACGGAGCAACGCCGCGUGAGUGAUGAAGGUCUUCGGAUCGUAAAACUCUGUUAUUAGGGAAGAACAUAUGUGUAAGUAACUGUGCACAUCUUGACGGUACCUAAUCAGAAAGCCACGGCUAACUACGUG
rnacentral:rRNA from 1 species